AUGAAAUCGAUGAGCAAGAAGAGUAUGUAUAUUUGAGGCGUUCAGAGAGCUGGGGAUAAGGUGUGAGCCCGGUGCGAUAAAAUAUACAGAAUGGGCUUGCGAGAGGUAUGCUGAACAAUUGAGUAGGCAGCCCGGGUUCCGCCGUUAAAAGGAUAGGGUAUCGGAUGUUUCCUGUACCUGAAAGAAGUGGGAUUUUCUUAAUCCAAUUGAGGUGGUACCACGGUAUUCCAUUACAUAUAUCGUCCUCUAC
rnacentral:ncRNA from 1 species